rnacentral:lncRNA from 1 species
GUUGAAACCAUGAUAUACCAUGAUAGUGAAGUGCCCGAAAUUGGUAUGCUUUGUUUAUUGGAUGUGUGGUGCAUUGGCACAGAAAUCUGUUGGUGGAUAAUGAGUUGCAUAUAUUUUACAUAAUUAUAAAUAUGGCAUCAAAAUGUUGAAAAUCUGAUUUCCCCCAAGCUGAUCAUUGUCUGCAGCCAGCUCUGAUUGUAGUGGAAUGAAACAGGCAGGGAGAGUGAGUGAGCUCGUUUAUGGUGGUCGGCGAACCCCCAACCUUCUGGCCCGUGGCCCUGUGUGGCAUCGAUUGUGCCACAAAAGCAUGCUGAAGUUGCAAAGUUGAUAUCCACGUUUCUAAACACAGGGUAGUAGACAGCUGGUGACAUCCUGAAAGAGAUCGCCGUCCGACAAACUGCUAUCAGGUAGAGUAUUUUUUAUUUUAAUCUAACUAUUUAGCUAUAGAAACGUGAUACCAUCAAUGCAAGCUGUAAAAUGACUCCUAAUUUAGAACACAAAAACCUUAGCAAUGUAGCUAGCUUGCAAGUUAGCUAACUAUACUAGCUAGCAUGUCUCCUCUUCCAGUGCACUCUAAUAAAUAUAUUAAUCUUAUUGCAGUCUUUCGGAGCUAGCAAUAUCUGUUCCUCUUCAUCAGACAGCAGCUCGUGUUUUCACAAGAGGCUAUGUUUACAUCGUAGAUAGAAGCAGACCUUUGGCUGCCUUCAUCACGAGGGACCAGCACAGAGAACCCCAGGAGACCUCUGAGAGUGUGUGUGUGUUGGUGGUAUGCUGCUCUUCACAGCUCUAAAUCACAUUCUUUCUGCUUCCUCAACAAAUUAGACGCAGAGCUUUGUCUUAGGGUCUGCAGAGAGAGGGAGGGAGAGACAGAGAGAGGGCAAGAGAGAACAGAAAGAGAGAGAGCGAGAUAAAGAUAGAUAUAAAGACAGAGAUUAAGAGGAGAGGAAGAGCGAGAGAGGUAAAGAGAGAGACGGAGAGAGAGAGAAAAAGAUAGAUAAAUGGAGAGAGGAAGAGAGAGAUAAAGAGAGCGCGAGAGAGAGAUGGAGAGAGAGAAAUAAAGAGAGAGAGGAAGAGAGAGAGUGUCACACCCUGACCAUAGAGAGCCCUUGGUUCUCUAUGGUGUUGUAGGUCAGGGCGUGACUAGGGGGUGUUCUAGUCUUUUCAUUUCUAUGUUGGUGCUCUUGGUAUGGUUCCCAAUUAGAGGCAGCUGAUGUUCGUUGUCUCUAAUUGGGGAUCAUACUUACUGUUCCCACCUGCUUUGUGGGAUAUUUUUUGUUUGUGGUGGUUCUUGUUACACCACGUCACGUUGUGUUGCUUGUUUAUUGUUUUGGUUGAAGAAGUUUCACUUGAAAUAAAUAUGUGGAACUCAACAAAUGCUGCGCCUUGG